AGCAGAGAUAGGAGAGAGAGGGGAGAAAGAAACUGAAGCGACCGAGGUUUUGCCCCCAAAUCCCACACCCCACUCACGCGCACCUCGCCGCCGCCGCCCCCGUCCCCUCCCUCCCUCCACCAAACCCUCGUCGCCGCCGCAGCGCAGCGCAGCACCGCAGUCGCCCCCCGAUGGCGACCGCCGCCGGCCCCGUCGGCGGGCUGUCGGCGAAGGACGAGAUUAGGGAGGUGGAGAUGGAGAUCAUGAACCCGCCGGAGGAGGCGGCGGAGCGGGCCGGGCUGAAGAGGGCCUGGGGCUCCGCGAGCGCCGGCGCUUCUCAUGGUUUUAUUGGAGUGACUACUGCUGAAAAGAAGCCAACACUCCUGCCUCAUAACAAUGUCAAAUAUCUGAAGAAAACUGGCAGUGGCAAUCUUCUACGUUCGGAUAUGCCAGAUACUAAUGCUUGGAGAUUUAGUAGCUCAUCUCCUGGUGGAGAUCUGGGGAGCAAAACCAGAACCCCUACGAGUACCUUUAAUGCUCAAGGAAAGAAUUGCACUUCUCCUCAUGAAAGAGAGGGUUCUGGUUUUGGUAACCUGUGGAGUCAAGAAGAAAAUGCUGGUUCACUCACAUCAGUUGGUUAUGGGAAACAUAGAGGCUCUGAAGAAGGAUUUGAAGCACAAUGUGUAUCCAACUUGAAUGAUCUGCACACCUAUGGGCGAUAUAGGACCCUCAUUCAUUCUUAUGGCGAAGAUAAUAGGGGGCUGGCUCAUAACUCGCCCAACCUAAAUAUUUCAGAGAGGUCUUGCAGAACUGAUAAUUUAUGGACUACAAAGCCUACCCCUCCUGUAAAUGAGCUGGUGCAGAUCUCAGUUCAAGGGAAAAACCACAAACCUAGUCUCAUGGGACGCCAUAUUAGUUUGCCCUCUGAUAGCUACUUGGAUGGCAGGGGAACCUUAAGUAGAUUGCAUUUAGAUGGAGAAAAUCUGUUGCCGGAUCUGAAUGUGGCCAAAGCAAGCAGCCUAAGUGAUUCUCAUGUCUCUGAUUAUUGGCAUCGACCAUUUGACUCAUCUGUUUCAUUUGACUAUCCCCAGUAUGGUGAGAAGCGAUCUGUUUAUGGUGGACCAACAGAAAAUCUUCCUCACAAACAUCAGAAAGAACAUAGUUCAAGCUUUGCCUCAUACGGCUCAAACAGUAUAACAGGGUUCAGAAGUCCAGGCUACAAUAGCUCUGCUCAUUCCUUGGGUAGCCAACCUUCUCGAGCAAUUACUCACCUAGGAAUGCCGUCCCCUCAUCAGUUAACACCUGGUAUUGAGAAAUUUGGUCUCCAUAAAGAUGUAUAUUUUGACAAGGGCUGUGGUACAUCUAGGCUUGGGUUACGUGCAAGCAGUUCAUGCCAACCUGAGCACCUUUCCCCAAUCAAGGAUGACCCUUGGGUAACUUCAGUGCCUUUUGUACCUCUUGUUGAGUUUCCCAACAGUACAUCACCUUCAAAUAGUCCAUAUGACCCACUUGCUGACAGUAUGGACCCUCCCAAAGUUGAAAGUGGCAAUAUUCUCAAGUCCUCCAACAUAUCCUGCAGCAUUUCAAGUCAGCACACUGCUGGGAAUGGUGUUAUAUAUGGAGAUAUCAACAAAUCAUUGAUUUAUGCUGAUAAGUUGGCAAGGAAUAUGUCGGCAAAAGGGUCAAAUGAGUUUGCAGGCUUGGUUGCACCUGUUAAGGAACGCUCUAGUCUGGAUGUCGAUACUUUGGUGAAAGCUUUUGAAAGAACCAAAGAUGGAGCAAUUGAUGAGAAAACGAGGGAUUAUUUCCGUAUUCAUUUGGCAGAACAUGUGAAGGAGUUGCUGAAACCUAUUUGGAAGGAAGGCAAACUGAGUAAAGAUGCUCAUAAACUGAUAGUAAAAAAAUCUGUUGACAAAGUUCUUGCUUCAGUUGAUCUGCAUCAAGUACCAGCUACUAAAGAAUUGAUAACUGAUUUUAUAACCAUGUCUGGAACAAAGAUUGAAAAGCUUGUGAAGGCAUAUGUUGAUAGGCAUGGUACAAGAUGAGAUCCAGACUUCUAAAAGCUGAGCUCCAUCACCUAUAUAUGGGCUUUCAGCAAACACCUUUCCGAUGUGAUUAAUCUGCAGUCCAAUGUUGCUAGGCCUGAUCUGCAGUCCAAUGUUGCUAGGCCUGAUCUGCAGUAGCCAACCUGAAGUGAAGUGGAUUCAGGGAAGCAUUCAAUUUUGCAUCUUUAAGGUUGCCAGAUAUGAAAGUCGUCUUUGAGCCUAUUAUAUCCUCAUUUUAUCAUCACUGAUCAAACUUAUGAGAGCUGCCAGAACAUGCAAAUGGAAACAAACAGUUCGCCUCAUUCAUCCCUGCCCUUUCUCUUUGUAGAGAGCUACCAAACGUCUGGGUGUGCUAAUGAGGAUGACAAGGUUUUGGCUUCUGCUACUUGAUGCAUCGCACCAAACCUGAAGCUCAACAUUGCUUUUGUAGUCUCCUUUUCUCGUGUUCCAAGCUUUUGUAGUCUCCCUCAAAAGUUGUUGAUGUUUGUUGCUUCCUGAAUCCUGAUGGUCUGUCGUUUUGCUUCCGGUUUUCUGAAUAAAGCAGAGUGUGGCUUGUUCAAGAAAUAUACUCCCUCCAUAAAGAAACAUAAGAGCGUUUAAACCAUUACUUUAGUGAUCUAAACGCUCUUAUAUUUCUUUACAGAGGGAGUAUAUGCUUAUCUAAUGAAUUGCUCAAUAGCCUCACUUAGUAAUAUCCAAUGCCUUCGCAGGGUCUUAAAAAGGCUGCAGAGCACAGAUGAACAUCUCAUUCAUUUUCUAUGGAUUCUUUACAGUCAACACAGAGUAUCCAAAAAUGGAAAACGCGAUGAAUAUUUGUACUGUGUCCGGUUAGACAAGGUUUACGUCUGACAAAUUGCUGCACUAUGUUGAUGCAACGUAAUACUUCCAUGAAUAAUUGGUAUUUGGUUGGUAUUCCCUACCAGUAUACAACCAUCUGUGUCGGCUUGCUCAGUUGCUCAAGUGUGUUCCUAUCAUGGCACAUUUGUUUGCAGUUUUUCUAUCUCUGGAAGCCGCUAAAGCUGGCACUGAUGCUUGGUUCAGGAUCAAGACACAGACAUGCUACUGCUCCUUUUGUGGCCAAACUGUUCAUUAGCUCCUAAAGCUAUCGGGAUUCAGGAUAUGCUCUUCUGUCCUGCGGAGUUUCUUUUCAGUUAUGCUCUUGGAGUUGGAUAGUCGAGAUACUCUCUGGUAAAGAAAAUCCAGGUUCAAAGAUAUCAUGAAUAGUCAGAAAUCCUGGAUACAUAUUUCAGUUCUUGUAUUGCUUUCUUUAGCACAAGGUGCAGCGAUGCUGACGGUAUGGCAGCACCGCACAUCAAAAGCCGUAUGAUUUUUGUCUCGUGACUAGUCUGGUGGCAGGUCGUAGCUGUUUAUGAAUGCUACACGAGCAGCCUUGAGAAAGAUCUAUGAGCAGGGGAAUGCCAGUGUGGCACCAGUAUUUUUUUAAUUCUUUCUUUCAGUUUUGUACCGUGCCCAUUAUGCCAAAACUGCAAACUAUGAUGUACAGUGUGUGUUGUCUUUGUGGUUGUGGCUGCCGUUAAGCAUAAUGCGUUAUGUGCUAACACAGAUCUCUGUGGCCUUUUAUGCUCAUCGACGAUCAUUGAGGAGGUCAAGGUUGAGUGCAAGUCAUGUUUCUCAUCCUGUUCUGUUACUUUCAGGUAAAAGAGGUGCCGGCUGUGUCGUGCAUCUGUUGGCUCAGUCAGGCUCUGCUCUCUGUUGAACCCAUAUACUGGUUGUUCCAGUGCAAGUCGCGGAGUGUGCAAGGGCAGAAAUUGUCAUCGUUGCUUUGUAAUAAAGCUUUUGCUUUAAGUUGAAAAGAAAAAGGGUUGGGAAGUUGCUUGGUCUGACAUCUCAGUUUGGAGUUUUUCUUUUUUUUUUCCGGGGUAGUUUGGAGUUGUAAUAAUAAAUUAAAAAUACAUUUACGGGCUGUCUUCAGAUAGUGCCAACUAAUGUUAUUAUGUGCUUGUAUUCA